AGAGUCUGAGAUUGAGGUGCUGAUCAGUGAAGUGGAGACGCGAAAAAAUAUUUUAUUUGGUGGUUUAUCUUCUGGUAUCAGCAACAAACGCAAGGCAACAGAGUGGCACUGUGUCACAAUGGCAGUCAAUGCAGCCGGCUCAGAGACACGUACAAUGGAAGAAAUAAACAAGAAAUGGUCAGACAUAAAAGUAGACUUCAAAAAACGUGUCACUGCAGAGUGUCACUGCCACAGGUGGAGGCACAGGAAAGCCGGAGCUGACGCCACAAGAAGAAAGGGAAACUCUCCUGUGUGGCGUCCUGCCAGCAUUGUGAGGGCGACUCAGACAUGUGUUUUUCUUUCUGAUUUGAUGGAAAAUCUGGGUUUUUGAAGCCAGAGAGACUUCACAAGGAGGAGAGGGGGAUCUUGACUGCGAGGCCAGCGUUUUCACAGCAGCUGACUCCGUGCACCCUGCUGCAUCCAGUUCGCACCCUGCUGCGCCCCUGCUUCCACUGCUGAGGUUCGUCAUUCCACAGCUCCUGUGGCAGAGGGAUGCCACGUUUGUUUGCCAUACUGUGCAGCACACUGCAUGCCUGCACAAUGCGACAUACCUUCCGUGGACAGUACAACAGCAUGCCACCAGUGCGGUCCAAACAGCGGCAACGGCCUUUCAGCUGCCCGAUGGUCCAUUCCCCACCAGCGCAAGCAUGGACAAUAUUGUACCGCUGCUCUUGCUCGGUCAGAGGGUUGGUGAGGGGAUGAGGAGGCAUGUCUACAGAGGGUAACCACUGUCACCUAAGGGUCUAUGUUAACCACAUCCUCAA